AGAAGGAGCCCCACAGCCCAGCUCCCUGCAGACCACCUGUGCAUCUUUCUGGUCAAAGUCAUCUUCACACACUGAGGACCAGGACUGGUUCAACUUCACC